AGAGAGAGCACUCGUAUAGGACAGGAGGGAAAUAGGAGGUGCUCAUUAGUGCUUCCGUGUCUCAGUCAGGCCACACCCUGCGAUGAGAACGCAAUCAAGCACUUCGUGUGUUCUUUUUAUCCCAUAAAACAGGUACGAAGAAACAAGCCAGGAGGAAGAGGAGGAUAAAUGAAGCAUCGUUUGCGUCCUUCGAUGCCCAGUCCAAGGAGCAUCCCAGCUGGUGGAUCUCCAGUGUGUAGCGGUUCCAGCCUAGGAGAGGAGCACCGGUCCAAACCAGGGAGUACACCCAGAUGUGGGCGAUGGCCCGCCAUGCCCAGUGGAAAUCCACCACCUGGGCGUGGACCACCCGGAUGUAGCGCUCAUAGGCCAAGGCUGCCAAAGUCAUGAUGGAAAUGAUGCCUGGCGGUGGGAGCAAAAUAAAUCAUCAGACUUCUUGAAA